rnacentral:rRNA from 1 species
UACGAGAGGCCCAAACGUUAUUCGGAAUUACUGGGCUUAAAGAGUCCGUAGGCGGCGCAGAAAGUAGGGUGUGAAAGCCCUCGGCUUAACCGAGGAAUUGCGCUCUAAACUACUGUGCUUGAGGAACCUAGAGGUGAGCGGAACUGAUGGUGGAGCGGUGAAAUGCGUUGAUAUCAUCAGGAACACCGGAGGCGAAAGGGCGGCUCACUGGGGG